rnacentral:rRNA from 1 species
UACGGGGGGGGCAAGCGUUGUUCGGAAUUACUGGGCGUAAAGCGUGCGCAGGCGGUGAUGUAAGACAGAUGUGAAAUCCCCGGGCUCAACCUGGGAACUGCAUUUGUGACUGCAUCGCUGGAGUACGGCAGAGGGGGAUGGAAUUCCGCGUGUAGCAGUGAAAUGCGUAGAUAUGCGGAGGAACACCGAUGGCGAAGGCAAUCCCCUGGGCCUGUACUGACGCUCAUGCACGAAAGCGUGGGGAGCAAACAGG